UUCGAUUAGAGUUUGAUCAUGGCUCAGGAUGAACGCUGGCGGCGUGCUUAACACAUGCAAGUCGAACGAACCUUCGGGUUAGUGGCGGACGGGUGAGUAACGCGUGAGAAUCUGCCCUCAGGAGGGGGAUAACGGUUGGAAACGACCGCUAAUACCCCAUAUGCCUACUGGUGAAAUGAAUUUCGCCUGAGGAUGAGCUCGCGUCUGAUUAGCUAGUUGGUGAGGUAAUGGCUCACCAAGGCUUCGAUCAGUAGCUGGUCUGAGAGGAUGAUCAGCCACACUGGGACUGAGACACGGCCCAGACUCCUACGGGAGGCAGCAGUGGGGAAUUUUCCGCAAUGGGCGAAAGCCUGACGGAGCAACGCCGCGUGAGGGACGAAGGCCUCUGGGCUGUAAACCUCUUUUCUCAAGGAAGAAGAUAUGACGGUACUUGAGGAAUAAGCCACGGCUAAUUCCGUGCCAGCAGCCGCGGUAAUACGGGAGUGGCAAGCGUUAUCCGGAAUUAUUGGGCGUAAAGCGUCCGCAGGCGGCUUUUCAAGUCUGCUGUUAAAAAGUGGAGCUUAACUCCAUCAUGGCAGUGGAAACUGAAAGGCUUGAGUAUGGUAGGGGCAGAGGGAAUUCCCGGUGUAGCGGUGAAUGCGUAGAUAUCGGGAAGAACACCAGUGGCGAAGGCGCUCUGCUGGGCCAUUACUGACGCUCAUGGACGAAAGCCAGGGGAGCGAAAGGGAUUAGAUACCCCUGUAGUCCUGGCCGUAAACGAUGAACACUAGGUGUCGGGGGAAUCGACCCCUUCGGUGUCGUAGCUAACGCGUUAAGUGUUCCGCCUGGGGAGUACGCACGCAAGUGUGAAACUCAAAGGAAUUGACGGGGGCCCGCACAAGCGGUGGAGUAUGUGGUUUAAUUCGAUGCAACGCGAAGAACCUUACCAGGGUUUGACAUCCUGCGAACCUCUUAGAAAUUUGAGGGUGCCUUCGGGAAUGCAGUGACAGGUGGUGCAUGGCUGUCGUCAGCUCGUGUCGUGAGAUGUUGGGUUAAGUCCCGCAACGAGCGCAACCCACGUUUUUAGUUGCCAGCAUUUAGUUGGGCACUCUAGAAAGACCGCCGG
rnacentral:rRNA from 1 species